UACGAAGGGGGCUAGCGUUGCUCGGAAUUACUGGGCGUAAAGGGCGCGUAGGCGGCUGUGUUAGUCAGGCGUGAAAUUCCUGGGCUCAACCUGGGGACUGCGCUUGAUACGGCAUGGCUUGAGGAUGGAAGAGGCUCGCGGAAUUCCUAGUGUAGAGGUGAAAUUCGUAGAUAUUGGGAAGAACACCAGUGGCGAAGGCGGCCUGCUGGGCAGUUGCUGACACUGAGGCGCGACAGCGUGGGGAGCAAACAGG
rnacentral:rRNA from 1 species